rnacentral:SRP_RNA from 1 species
GCCAGGAGUGGUGGCACACACCUGUAGUCCCUACUACUUGGGAAGCUGAGGUGGGAAGAUUGCUUAAGCCUCAGAAGUUCUCGGUUAUGAUGACUGGGUGUCUGCACUAAGCUUGGCAUCAAUAUGGUGACCUCUUGGGAGUGGGGGCCCACCAGGUUAUCUAAGAAGAGGUGAACCAGCCCAGGUCAAAAACCAAGCAGGUCAAAACUCAUGGGCUGACCAGUAGUGGGAUCACCCCUGUGAAAAGCCACUGUAAUCCAGCCUGGGCAACACAGUGCGACCCUGUCUCU